GUUCCCGGGCUGUCGCUCCAGUUGCCCGCUUGAGGAGGCGUGAUGCGGGAGAAAGGCCGGACCUUCCUUGGUUGACCUACAAUUGUUUAUCCUGUCUUUAUAAACACCUGUUACCUUCUUGAUAUAACCAGAGGACCUGACCUCUCUGAAGAAUGACCAGGAGACUUUUUCUUUGAAUCUUAGCCUGCUUCCAGUGUUAAUUAGGAAACUUGAUACUCUCUGGGUCCAACCCAUCACUUACUACAGCCACUACUGCCUGAAUUCAUUCAGAAGAAUGCAGAAGCAGAUAUAAGAAAUCCCUUUCUUUUGUUCAUUGAAUUCUGGACGGAACUUUAAGGACCUGAUGAGAGCUUAAGGAUUCCGGGAGGAUGCCCCCACGAUGGCUCUGAGAGGCUAAACACGAGGCCCCCAGCACAGUUAGCUGCUUGGUAUCCCCUUUUCUCUGCCACUGAGGAAGUCAUGUUACAAAGGAGCCCAAUGCUAGUUCUUGCUCACACCUGUGUGCAACGCCGACCACUCCACUGCCUCGAGCCAGGAUAAAGGUGGAGACACCCUCCAUGAAUGCACAGCUCCUACUUUGGCUCUUCAGUUGUCCCACCUAUGCUCUGCCUCCU